GCACUGUUUGUGGCGAGGCAAGGGAAGAAGGAGAGAAGAAAACUGCACGGGAUCUGUGGAGGUCUUCUCCCAUGGACCUACAGUAAGGCUGGAAGCCAGGGAAAGGGGGAGACUGGCAUGGAACCAUGAAGGUUUGUGUGAAGGUGGGCAGCACCUGGGGAUAACAAGAAGAUCUUCCUGCAGGUCUGCUGUAGGGCUUGAGAUUACUGGAGGCAAAGAAACAAGGAGGAAAUUGCCCC
rnacentral:lncRNA from 1 species